UUGCUGAGACUUUCUAACUGCCAAGACUUGGAUAAAUAAAGAAGGUGUUCUGAUUUUAUACUUCAGGAGAUGCCACUCUAUAAGGAAGAGACUGAAUCUUGGGCAGUCAUGAUCAAACGAACACCCUGUUUGCUGCUUAGCUGGGGAUGAAUGAGUCACUUUCCAGCUCUGCUCAGACGGACAAGAUCAAGAGAAUGGCUUCCUCGUUGGAGUUUUCUUCCCUAAAUCUGUGAAUUGUUUUCAGUAUUCUUGUAGCGCAGGCUGCUGUUUUGCUCCAACACAAUAUCGGUGAGUUUAAAUUAAGAAAGCUAUCAAUGAAAUUUUAAAGGCACAAUUUUUUAUCCUAAAUUUUAGUGUUUUGCAUUUCUGUGAAUCAAGGCUGAUUCUUUGACUUCAUGCCAAUGUAACUGUUGGUUUUACUCAAUCCAGGGUUUACCUGUCAGUAAUCAGUUUGGUGACAAUCAGCAAAGUAUCUGUUUUUACCCUACUGCCAUGCAUAUAUUCACCUUUCUGAUAUACUAAUAGCCCUGAUGCAUUUGUCUGAAAAACAUACAUGCAGAGAG
rnacentral:lncRNA from 1 species